CGAGUUAUUACUUAUGUACUUUAAUUUUUGAGUUUACUACGACGGUACCUACAACACUACUGUCGUAUUUAUUUACCACGUCCGAAGUUAAAUGUACCGUCGCAUUUUGUAAUUUAUACGUCGUAGUUAUAUGUAACCGCCGUAUUAUUUUUUUGAAAUGGUUUUAUAUGUAAGCAACUUUUCGUCUACCUGACAUACACAUGCG
rnacentral:lncRNA from 1 species